rnacentral:snRNA from 1 species
UUGAAAAUAAUUUCUAGAAAUCUAUUUAUCUCUAAUCUAGAUAUUGUAAGAAGUUGUAUGAAUAAGUUAAACUUAGAUUGAAUCAGUUUAAAUGUUCAAGGAGGAUGACAAAUGGUUUUUAAAGAUUGGGAAAUUAAUGUUGUUUACUCAGGGAAACAUGAAGUAGUUACAAACGAAAAUAGUUUAUUUGUUAUUGAUGAAGAUUAUGAUGUCGCAAUCGCAAUCAAUUAUUUAGAUAAUAAAUUAAAAGUUAGUCAUGUUAACUAUGGCUCUGAAUUUACAAUUGACGCAUCUAACAAAGUACUUGCGUUGAUGAUUCAUAAUCCAAAUAUUGACGAGAAUUAAAUAUUAAAAAACAUUUAGAAACAUAAAGGCAUACUAUAUAUAGUCUUUUAAACGUAUAACGAACGAAAAUUAGAAAUUCGGAUAUUCAUUACACUAUUAAAAUGCAAUUUUUCAAAGCAUUUAAAAACAACAGUUAAGGUGGUGACCAAAAAUUAACAUUGUGUAUAACAUCAUUGUAUAUAUAGCAUGCAUGAUUAACUUCGGACUGAUUAUCGUCCCAUUGCUAACUACCAAUGACGCAGAUUUUGUUUGGACUUCUUCGUCAUUAAUAUAUAUGAUCCUUUUAACACUACUUAUAUUAAUUGUUUAUAUUAAAACUAAAGAUAGUUUACAGCUAACAAUAUUUAUACUUAGUGUGGCAUUAAUCCUUCUAUACUGUGCACCUUUACUGUUCAUUUAUGUAUUCUAAUGUUUCAUUAAUAUUUUAAUACGUCAGUUUAAAAACAAACAAAUUGGAAAAUAAACGAAACAAGUUAUCAUCUAAUUUAACAUGAUACUCACUUAAAAUUUGAAACAACGAGCAGCCUAACUUAAGCUUUAUAUCUUUAUUUCAAGUUAUGUUUUCAACUAUUUUAAUGCAAUUUACAUUUAGAUUAAGGAGUAAACAUCAUGAAUAAACAUAUAAAUAAAAAGACCACAAAGCAUCUUGAAGAUUAUAAAAAGGUUCAACAAAGAAAUUCGGAGGAAACAAAUAGAGGUUGUUUAAAAAGCGCCGCCAUGCUUAUUGUCUUAUUUCUAUUCAUUAUAUUUGGCAUCGUGGCAUGUUCGACACACGUUAACUUUUUCUUCCAAUAA